AGGGAAUCUUCCGCAAUGGGCGAAAGCCUGAUGCAGCAACGCCGCGUGAGUGAUGAAGGUCUUCGGAUUGUAAAGCUCUGUCUUCUGGGACGAUAAUGACGGUACCAGAGGAGGAAGCCACGGCUAACUACGUGCCAGCAGCCGCGGUAAUACGUAGGUGGCAAGCGUUGUCCGGAUUUACUGGGCGUAAAGGAUGUGUAGGCGGAUAUUUAAGUGAGAUGUGAAAUCCCCGGGCUUAACUUGGGGGCUGCAUUUCAAACUGGAUAUCUAGAGUGCAGGAGAGGAAAGUAGAAUUCCUAGUGUAGCGGUGAAAUGCGUAGAGAUUAGGAAGAAUACCAGUGGCGAAGGCGACUUUCUGGACUGUAACUGACACUGAGGCUCGAAAGCGUGGGGAGCAAAC
rnacentral:rRNA from 1 species